rnacentral:rRNA from 1 species
UACGUAGGGCGCAAGCGUUAUCCGGAAUUAUUGGGCGUAAAGAGCUCGUAGGCGGUUUGUCGCGUCUGCUGUGAAAGACCGGGGCUCAACUCCGGUUCUGCAGUGGGUACGGGCAGACUAGAGUGCGGUAGGGGAGACUGGAAUUCCUGGUGUAGCGGUGGAAUGCGCAGAUAUCAGGAGGAACACCGAUGGCGAAGGCAGGUCUCUGGGCCGCAACUGACGCUGAGGAGCGAAAGCAUGGGGAGCGAACAGG